UUGGAAUGCAGAGUGGUGAAUUAUGUCAAUUUUCUUUGCAUGCCUCCACUAAACAUAGCAUUGGAACUUUGUUGGUUUUCUACCAACGAAAAUUUCAGCUUGGGCUAGUUUUAGGUUAAUUCGUUUAUUGGUUGGAACAUAUCAAUGCAAAGCAUUUUUGUUUGUUAGAGAUAUCGUCCUAGUUCAAGUUGUUUGUUGAAAAUUCUCACCAUGUUACAUAUGGUAGAAUAUAAAAAAUUAUUUGGAUAUGGGCGAGACUUAACAUUAUAAAUCUCCCUGAAGUCCUAGGAAAUAUGUUAUUUUCCCCCUUUUUUUUUGUGUGUGUUCUAGACAUACAAUAUUUUGCCAUGUUCAAUUGUUUGGUUAAAAUGCUAAUAUAUCACCUUGAGAACUUCAGUGCUUGAAAGUGUUGAUAAAAUGCUAAUUUUAUAGCAUCUCAAUGAAUUAUACAUUAUGAUUUUCUUUAAUAUAAUCAUACUUUGUGAUUGUAUUUCUUAAUUGCCAUCUAACACAAUAGCAAAAUAUAUAUCCUUUUAUGC
rnacentral:misc_RNA from 1 species